rnacentral:rRNA from 1 species
AUUGAACGCUGGCGGCAGGCCUAACACAUGCAAGUCGAACGAGUGGCGGACGGGUGAUUAAUGUCUGGGAAACUGCCUGAUGGAGGGGGAUAACUACUGGAAACGGUAGCUAAUACCGCAUACCAUCAGAUGUGCCCAGAUGGGAUUAGCUAGUUGGUGGGGUAACGGCUCACCAAGGCGACGAUCCCUAGCUGGUCUGAGAGGUUGACCAGCCACACUGGAACUAAAACACGGUCCAGACUGGUACGUGAGGCAGAAGUGGGGAAAAUUGCACAAUGGGCGCAAGCCUGAUGCGGCCAUGCCGCGUGUAUGAAGAAGGCCUUCGGGUUGUAAAGUACUUUCAGCGGGGAGGCGUUACGCGCAGAAGUAGCACCGGCUAACUCCGUGCCAGCCGCCGCGGUAAUUC